AAUGCAACUGCUGGAUCAUAUGGUAAGAGUAUGUUUAGUUUUGUAAGAAGCUGCCAAAUUGCUUUCCAAAGUGUCUGUGCCAUUUUGCAUUCCCACCAGCGGU
rnacentral:pre_miRNA from 1 species